rnacentral:lncRNA from 1 species
CUGUAAUUCCUCUGACUCCUUCCCUGCUGGGUCUGAUAAUCUCACAUAGCUGGCUUGCCCCAGAUCCCUGGGUCCCUAAAGAGGCUUAGGCCAUCACAGCUACAAAAAUCUACUGCUACAGUAAAUCCUAGAGAGAAAGGCUGCAAUGACACAGUGUUUCCCUUCCGAAGUGGCUCUGCAGAAUGCUAAACGCACACAACGCCUGGAGCAGCUCAGGGCCCACAUCCGCAGACAUGCAUUGAAAACCUGGAAUCCUCCUUGAACUGGCAUCGCUGGGUGACCUCAUGCACCUACUUGUCAUCUCAGCAGUUUCAGCGUCACUGUUCCUCCUUAGAUUCAUUAAGCAAAUAUUUAACAUCCGAAGAAAGGAAAGCGCCCCGCGGCCUGAGCGGCCCGUCCUGCUGUUCUCCCCACAGCCAGGCCAAUAAAAACAGAGCCCCGAAGCA